AGUCACUGACAUUAGAUACCCGCGUAGUCCAGGGUGUAAACGCUGCAGACUUGGUGUUGGGAACCCGUUCGGGGGUGCUCAGUGCCGGAGAGAAGUUGUUAAGUCUGCUACUUGGGGAGUACGUCCGCAAGGAUGAAACUUAAAGGAAUUGGCGGGGGAGCACCGCAACGGGAGGAGCGUGCGGUUUAAUUGGAUUCAACACCGUAAAACUCACCAGGGAAGACUGUUACAUGAAGGCCGAGAUGAAGACUCUGCUAGAUUUUCAG
rnacentral:rRNA from 1 species